rnacentral:rRNA from 1 species
UACGUAGGGGGCAAGCGUUGUCCGGAAUCAUUGGGCGUAAAGAGCGCGUAGGCGGCCCUGUAAGUCCGCUGUGAAAGUCAAGGGCUCAACCCUUGAAUGCCGGUGGAUACUGCAGGGCUAGAGUCCGGAAGAGGCGAGUGGAAUUCCUGGUGUAGCGGUGAAAUGCGCAGAUAUCGGGAGGAACACCGAUGGCGAAGGCAGCUCGCUGGGACGGUACUGACGCUGAGGCGCGAAAGCGUGGGGAGCGAACAGG